UACUAUGAGGCAAGAAAACAGGAUAUGGUUGGAGAGGUCAGAGGGGGAUAAACUUCACCAUGACCUGAUGAAGUUUAUCCCCCUCUGACCUCUCCAACCAUAUCCUGUUUUCUUGCCUCAUAGUA
rnacentral:miRNA from 1 species